rnacentral:rRNA from 1 species
AUUGAACGCUGGCGGCAUGCCUUACACAUGCAAGUCGAACGGCAGCACGGGUGCUUGCACCUGGUGGCGAGUGGCGAACGGGUGAGUAAUACAUCGGAACAUGUCCUGUAGUGGGGGAUAGCCCGGCGAAAGCCGGAUUAAUACCGCAUACGAUCCACGGAUGAAAGCGGGGGACCUUCGGGCCUCGCGCUAUAGGGUUGGCCGAUGGCUGAUUAGCUAGUGUGUGGGGUAAAGGCCUACCAAGGCGACGAUCAGUAGCUGGUCUGAGAGGACGACCCGCCACACUGGGACUGAGACACGGCCCAGACUCCUACGGGAGGCAGCAGUGGGGAAUUUUGGACAAUGGGCGAAAGCCUGAUCCAGCAAUGCCGCGUGUGUGAAGAAGGCCUUCGGGUUGUAAAGCACUUUUGUCCGGAAAGAAAUCCUUGACUCUAAUACAGUCGGGGGAUGACGGUACCGGAAGAAUAAGCACCGGCUAACUACGUG